GUGGAGGAGGUAUCACAUCUACUGGCUCAUUAUUGGGUUCUGGUUCUCGGACUCGAUGCUCUUCAGAGACUUUCUCUUCGAGCUCAAUCUUCCUCCCACUACCUCCAUCUUGGAUAAACUUUUUUUUCAGGAAUACGGUAUGAUGGCUCACAAUCAUAUUGUGAUCCUCAAGAAUAUAAAAGUAGUAUCCCAUAGUUUUCUUAGGAUACCCUAUAAAACGAGCCCUAAAGGAUCUAGUCUCUAACUUGUCUACCUGCUG
rnacentral:lncRNA from 1 species